UGGAUCAUAUAGCCUUGGCUGGUAGCAGGUCGUAGUGUGUGCGCAGGGUUGGAAUCUUUUCAGUGUAGCGACGGGUCUUGGGUAUCUGAUCUUUUCUUCUUGGGCGUUUGUUGCCAUCGGGGUCUCUGCGGUAGCUGAGGUGGAAGUGGUGUUUGCAGCGGUCCGUACCAGUCCAUGAUGUGUGGGUCUGUGAGGUUGAGGGCUUGUGUAAAGAGUGGUAUGUCCGCAUGGGAGUGUAUCGUGUGCUGAGUGCCCUUAUACGUGACACUCAGUGCCAGUGGGAAUCCCCACCUGUAUCUUAGGUUUCUGGAUCUUAAUUGGUCUGUAAUUGGUCGCAAAAUCCGUCUCGCUUGUAGUGUCAGCCAUGAGAGGUCGGGGUAGAUGGUUAUUGGGGCAUCAUGAAAUAGCAUAGGUUGUGAGGUCUGUUUCAGCGUGUGCAGUAUAUCUUCCCUGCAUGUGUGAUAGUGAAGCCUGCAAAUGACAUCUCUAGGCUUGUCAGUCGCUAUACCUCUGGGCUUCAGUGCCCUGUGUGCUCUAUCUAGUAGGAUGUGAUGGUCUCUUGGCUUACCCAGAAUUAAGUUGAAUAGUUCAUUCAGCGUCUGGUAGAUAUCUUCUUGUUCGUUUUCUGGGAGACCUCUGAUCCUUAGAUUGUUGCGG